rnacentral:rRNA from 1 species
GUUGACCUCGGAUCAGGUAGGGAUACCCGCUGAACUUAAGCAUAUCAAUAAGCGGAGGAAAAGAAACCAACAGGGAUUGCCCUAGUAACGGCGAGUGAAGCGGCAACAGCUCAAAUUUGAAAGCUGGCCUUCGGGUCCGCAUUGUAAUUUGUAGAGGAUGCUUUGGGUGAAACGCCAGUCUAAGUUCCUUGGAACAGGACGUCAUAGAGGGUGAGAAUCCCGUAUGUGACUGGAAAUGUUAACCUAUGUAAAGCUCCUUCGACGAGUCGAGUUGUUUGGGAAUGCAGCUCUAAAUGGGAGGUAAAUUUCUUCUAAAGCUAAAUAUUGGCGAGAGACCGAUAGCGCACAAGUAGAGUGAUCGAAAGAUGAAAAGCACUUUGGAAAGAGAGUUAAAAAGCACGUGAAAUUGUUGAAAGGGAAGCGCUUGCAAUCAGACUUGUUUAAACUGUUCGGCCGGUCUUCUGACCGGUUUACUCAGUUUGGACAGGCCAGCAUCAGUUUCGGCGGCCGGAUAAAGGCUCUGGGAAUGUGGCCUUCACUUCGGUGAAGGUGUUAUAGCCCAGGGUGUAAUACGGCCAGCCGGGACUGAGGUCCGCGCUCGGCUA